rnacentral:tRNA from 1 species
GCACAUAGCUCAGUUGGUAGAGCUCUCGCCUUUUAAGCGAGCGGUCACAGGUUCGAAUCCUGUUGUGC